CCAAUAGCGUAUAUUAAAGUUGUUGCAGUUAAAAAGCUCGUAGUUGAAUUUUAGGCCUGGCCGGGCGGUCCGUCUUUGGCGAGUACUGUCCUGUGUCGGGUCCACCUUCUGGUGAACCAGUAUGUCCUUUAUUGGGUGUGCCGGGGAGCCAGGACCAUUACCUUGAAAAAAUUAGAGUGUUUAAAGCAGGCAUUUGCUUGAAUAGAUUAGCAUGGAAUAAUAGAAUAGGACGUUGUGGUUCUAUUUUGUUGGUUUCUAGGACCACCGUAAUGAUUAAUAG
rnacentral:rRNA from 1 species